UGCCUAGAACAUAAAAUUAAUGCAAUGGAUCCCAUUAGAACUUCCCAUUUAAGCAUGCUCAGGCUAGAGUAGUAUUGGGAUGGGUGAUCACCUGGGAAGUCUUAGUGUUUUACAUGC
rnacentral:rRNA from 1 species